UUGUUUCCCACAUUUGAGAACUUGGAUUUGUUCUACUUGUAGCCAGAGAAGAUGGGUGACUGACAUCACGGUCUAGUUUUGCAGGAUAAUGAGUAGAGCUGAUUGUCUUCAAAAUGCACAGUUUUUCCUCGUGGGACUGUGGCUAUAUUUUCCACACCUUCUGCACCAUGCUCAGAACUUAGCUUUUAGAACGCUGCCCUCAGUUCCCCUAAAAGGAAGACAGGUGGUAUUCCAAGAAACAUAAAUACUGACAUGAUCAAUAGAACACUGUGUACCGUGAGAGGAAGAAUGUUUUAUGCUUGAAGAAAAUGCUUGGAAAAGGCUGAUUUGCAUCUGCUCUGCUCUCAGCUCAGAGACGGAUUUGAGCUGCAUAGUCCAAGACUGCAGGGGGAUGUUUUGCUCCCAUUCAGAAUAGAUUUAUAUAAAAACGGAACAUAACAAC